ensembl:lncRNA
UAAAUGACCCAAAGAGACAUAAUUUCAUGUUGUCUCAAGAGAUUUCUCCUGGCCAAGUAACACAAGACAGGCUGCCUCCAGGCUGCUGCUCCCAGCCCCAGGGCUUUCAGCAAAGUGAAACCGGCCAUUUCCAAAGUCAAAUUCUUCAGGGCAGCAUUAAGUCUUUGUCUUAUCGGGAAAGGCCUGAGGGUAGGAGAGGACAACUCUUUUAUGUCAUAAUGAGUAUGGAUUUCCACUCUGGAGAAGUCAACUGAUGAAGAACAGGGGUUGGCAAUCUUCCCGUUGGUGUAUUUUUGGUAAAUUGCUGACUCUGAUGCAGAAGGAGCAUGGAUGCUGAAGCCAAGAAGCAGAAAUCAGCCAACUGACAGAAGUGGCAACUAGACACAAAACAACUUAGUGAUGGGUUCAAGAAGAUGGGGUCAAUUUAAAAUUUUUUUAAUUUAUUCUUCAGUUACAACUGAAUAUAUUUUUGAGCAGGCAAUGAAUUAAAACACAAAGAACAGUAAGCAGAGAAACAUAUGUUAGGUAAAUUACAGAGACUUUUUAGUGAAACUAUUUUUUAACUUACUGCAAUUCAACUCAAGAUAAUAUUUUUAUAUUUUCAAGUUAAUUUUUACAUCACAAAUCAAGAUUUAUCUAUGUUCAGAUAGGUUCUGCUGGCUUAUGUCCAAAAGGCUUUGCUCUCUGGAGAGAAGUAUUCCUUGCUUUUAAAGCACUUAUUAACACUUUUUACUUGUCAGGAAUUAUGCCCAGUAUCAAGGCUAUGAAGGACUAGACACAGCCCCUAUCCUGGUGGGGUGGGGAGGGAUUGUCAUGGAGACUAUAUGCUCAAACAUUUUCCCGCCUCACCAUCAUUUUCCAUCUUACAAUGCCACCAAUCUGAGCUUUAUAGAUAGUUUCUCUGUACAGUUUCUGUACAUUUGAUAAUGAUCCUUAAUUCAAUUCACCUGACCUCUCAAAAUCUUGCCAUGCUUUAUUUUUUCCUUUCUUUAACUUCUUUUUUUCCCCCUGGGUUCGUUCUUCCAUGCCAGCUGUCACUGUGACACAAUGAAGAGCUAAACUGAGAAGGUUCUGCUCACCUCUGAUUUCCCACACUGGGCUCAAACAGUAAGAGUUUUGUUAUGAACUAUCUUCCCAAAUUUGCCCUAGCCCAUUUAUCCCUAGAGUGUUUUCUUUUAUGUUAAUAAACCAUCAUUUUAUGUGUGCAUGCUAAGUUGCUUCAGUUGUGCCUGACUCUUUGUGACCUUAUGGACUGUAGUCUGCCAGGCUCCUCUGUCCAUGCGAUUCUUCAGGCAGGAAUAUUGGAAUAAGUUGCCAUGCCCUCCUCCAGGGGAUCUUCCUGACCCAGCGAUCAAACCCAUGGCUCCUUCGGCUCCUGCAUUGCAGGCGGUUUCUUUACCCCUGAGCCACCGGGGAACCCCUCACUGUUAUAUGC